GGGACAGCCCCUCAGCGCACCCGCCCCAGGCCGCAAGUCGCCCGGCCCCGGUGUGGAGAGGAGGAGAAGGAGGAAGCCGCAGAGCAGGCUCUCCCUCUAUGGCCACCCCGCAGAGAGGGAGAGAGGUAACCCCGCGCCCAGGAGGCCCGAGCAGGGAAGGGAAGGAUGAGGAAGGAGAUGGAGCGGGGUUAUAACCCAGCCCGUGUAGAGGAGGGUGACUGGUCAUCUUAUCACUCUGAUUUGAAAGCAAGGCAACAGCUACAUGUCUGAGCAUGAGCAAGUUCCACCAGCCACUGAACCACCUUACCAAAGAGGGCAGACAGCUUUUUUUGUUGCACACUUGGACCUCUUUUGGACUUCCUACUGGUAAAGCCUGUGUUUACAAUGUCCUUUUCCUGAUGGCAAGUGUCACAUUAACCUUGAGAGCAAACUGCUCAUAGGUAAAAGCUCUAAGGAGAGCUAAUGGCCAAUUCACAAGCUAAUUGCAAAGAUCUGAGAAGUUCCUAAAACCAGUUCUGAAGGUUGAUGCAAACGCCCUCAAGCUACAUCUAAUGCUGAAGAGAUGCCACAAGAGAAUUCUGGUCAUGACUACCCGAUUACCAGUAUACAUGUCAAAUAACCAGCAGUGGCAAUAAGCAGGCUGCAGGCAGCUCUCUGCAGCAUACACACACUUAAGCAGUCACAGCAAACCAUUUUAAGUCCUCCUCCCAUCCUCCAACCUAAAUUGGCCAAUUCUUCAUGAGUCUAAAGUUACAGACUCCAUGACACACUGCAGACUUCAAGACUCGGAAAAAGACCCAAGAUUGAAAAGGUGUUCACAAUAAAACCCAGGCCCCUUGAUGUACUUUAAUGGGGGACUUGGAAAAGACUACCCACUGCACUGCCAAGGGAAAAGUGCUGUUUAACUUCUAACUUACAAAGGGUAAAUAAAAGUGACAAUAUAA